rnacentral:rRNA from 1 species
ACGGAGGAUCCGAGCGUUAUCCGGAUUUAUUGGGUUUAAAGGGUUCGUAGGCGGCCAUUUAAGUCAGCGGUGAAAUACCGGGGCUCAACCCCGGGGCUGCCGUUGAUACUGAGUGGCUCGAUUGGGUUCGACGCCGGCGGAAUGUGGCAAGUAGCGGUGAAAUGCAUAGAUAUGCCACAGAACACCGAUAGCGAAGGCAGCUGGCGAGGGUCACCAAUGACGCUGAGGAACGAAAGCGUGGGGAUCAAACAG